rnacentral:rRNA from 1 species
AAUACCGCAUAACGUCGCAAGACCAAAGAGGGGGACCUUCGGGCCUCUUGCCAUCAGAUGUGCCCAGAUGGGAUUAGCUUGUUGGUGAGGUAACGGCUCACCAAGGCGACGAUCCCUAGCUGGUCUGAGAGGAUGACCAGCCACACUGGAACUGAGACACGGUCCAGACUCCUACGGGAGGCAGCAGUGGGGAAUAUUGCACAAUGGGCGCAAGCCUGAUGCAGCCAUGCCGCGUGUAUGAAGAAGGCCUUCGGGUUGUAAAGUACUUUCAGCGGGGAGGAAGGUGUUGUGGUUAAUAACCGCAGCAAUUGACGUUACCCGCAGAAGAAGCACCGGCUAACUCCGUGCCAGCAGCCGCGGUAAUACGGAGGGUGCAAGCGUUAAUCGGAAUUACUGGGCGUAAAGCGCACGCAGGCGGUCUGUCAAGUCGGA